rnacentral:rRNA from 1 species
UUGACCUCAAAUCAGGUAGGACUACCCGCUGAACUUAAGCAUAUCAAUAAGCGGAGGAAAAGAAACUAACAAGGAUUCCCCUAGUAACUGCGAGUGAAGCGGGAAAAGCUCAAAUUUGAAAUCUGGCAGUCUUUUUUUUCUUCUUUGGCUGUCCGAGUUGUAAUCUAGAGAAGUGCUUACCUGCGCUGGA